UGACUUUAUCUUUAAAGGGAGGCAUAAAUACAUAUAUCAUCACCUAUGAUACUGAACCUAAUAGUUACAAAAUAUUUUUGAACAGUUCACAUCAAGAAUUCUACAUGGCUAUGCACAAGAUUCAUUAUAGAGAUGAAAAUAAAAGCCCUGCCUAUGUUUAGAAUCUCAAGAACUGCCUUCAAUGUAUAAAGGAUAACAGAGGAAUAGUAUUCACAUUGGAAUAAAAACAAUUACUUGGAUGCAAUCUUUUUAGGAUUUCCUAAAAUCAUUAAGGGUUCUACUACUCCAACUCAGAAAUUGAACAAAUCUCACGUGUCUAAAAUAAUAAAUAAUGAAUUUUCAGGAGACAUGCUGAUUAAGGAAAUAAUAAGAAAAAAUGCCACUCAUUUUAAAGCUUUGGCAUAAACCAGAAGGUAAUGAAAUAAUGUCAUAAUAUCUAUGAACACUAAAUUUUGUUUUGUAGAAACUCUUUGAAGUGUAACUUUAAAAAGCUGAGUAGAUAGCUCAAUCUAAUGUGUUUUGAGCACAAGCAUGAGCAUCCGCGUUUGAUCCCCUGACCCAAGAAAUAAAUCCAGCUAUUGUGCCAUGAGUUUAUGAUUCGAGUAAGCGCCAUUGGGUCCCUCAUGCUCCCUGUACACCCUGAGAUCCAGAGCAGUGAAAGGGAAUAUUUUAAAUGUUUAGUAUCUGAGGAAUAUUAACAUAUGUUAGUCGGCAGCCUCCACAAGAGCACACAUAUGCACAAAACUGCACACACACACACACAUGAACCUGCACAAUCAUGUAUUCUUACAAAAACACACAAGGGAAUGCUACUGAAAUGAACUUCUUUUCAGACAAGAGAUGAAUUUACUAACUUAAGAAUCUCAUGGUAUGAACAUGGAAGUUAUGUUUUAAACAAAGUAACCAGAGGAGGAACAUUUAGGUAUUAGAGAAAGAGGGGGGAAAAGAUAAACAGAAAAAAAAUUGAAGGACUAUAUUUCACAUACAACUAAGUCAUCUAUAUAUCACACAUAAGUAAACUAAAAUAAUGGGUACUGGUGCCAAGAAAAUUGCCUGUGAAGGGUAUUGACUGGAGCUAAUCUGCUCUAUUGCUCACCUGUAUCCUUUUAAUCUCUAUUGAUCAUAGGUACCCCCAACUUUCCUUUAAGGGUGAAAUGCCUCUGUGCUAAGUUCUAAGAUAUUUUCUGAUUUUGAGCUGCAUUAUAUUUGUCUUAAUGUUUUUAUGAUUUAUUAACUAGCUAUAAGCUGGUCUCACUAUAUUUUAAAACUCAGGAUCACCAUUUUUCCAUGAUCUGCCUUGUAGCUUUAUUGAAUUUUCAUGUAUGAGCCUUCACCCAACUUUCUCUGUUAUCAAAAUAAACAGGGUAAUCAGUGGAUAAUAUACAUAAUAUAUGUCAAACAAAAAAUUUCAAUUGAUUCUUAUGUAUUUUAAUGUAAAAUUCUAACAUAAUUUUCAAAGGAUAUAAUAUUUGGAUAGGUCAUUUCUCUCUCUCUCUCUCUCUCUCUCUCUCUCUCUCUCUCUCUCUCUCUCUCUCUCUCUCUCUCCAUACAUGCACACACACAUACACACAUACACACACACACACAGAGACCUUCCUUCCACACUCAUAUUAAAAAAUAUCUUCACUAUUUCUUCUAUAUUGUAGUAUGAUUGUGAGUAGCCUUUUUGAUAAUUAUAAUUAUAUAAAGAAAGAGAAAUCCAAUAAUAGUUUUGCAGUUCUGUGUCUAGAAAACAAAAUGGUUAGAUUUAUAACAUAUAUGUUUCUAUAAUUCAGGGACUUACUAGUAAAACCACAAGAUAAGAUCAUGUAGGGAUCAAAAUGUUAUAGAUUCAUUGGGUAUGUUAAUAUCUUUGCAAUGACUUUAGAUAUGGCAUAAGUACAGAAUAAAAUUUCUCCAUAGGAGAACUUUGUUUCUAUCUAUCUAUCUAUCUAUCUAUCUAUCUAUCUAUCUAUCUAUCUAUCUAUCUAUCUACCUAUCUAUUUACAAGAUUUAUAAAUAGAAUGGUUAAUUUAAACAAGGAACUGAGUUAUGAGAAUAUUAAUUGAAUUAUCUGAGUUGUAAUUAUGUUAGCACAGUUAUUUUCCUUUCCUGAAUAUCUCUAGCCUGAAUAUUGUGUAUUAAAUUGGAUAUAAUUAUAAUAAAAUAUUUCUGUGCUUUUAAUGAAACUUGUCAUUUUAUAUACAUAUGAUUUAUCAAUGCUGGCUCACAAUAACCCAAUAAACUAAAAUUAU
rnacentral:lncRNA from 1 species